GAAUAUGACCAUCUGCCAGGACACUGCCACCAUGAAAAACGCUCAGACAAAAUGGAAACCAGAAAUGUAUAUUGAGACAAUGAUUUGCAAAGUAUCAAUUAAUUAUAUGUCAAAACUGGCAUGAACCCCUUUCCUCCCUCCCUCAAAAAAGAGGUAUGAAAUCACAUGACAUGCAUUGUAGCUUUCAUAUGUAUCCAAAAUGAAGAAACUUGCAGAAGAUCACAUAAUAAACCAUCUAGUUGCAUUUACAUACCUCAAAUAUGUAUGUUAGUGACACAAGCUACCUUUCAUCAAAACAAUACACAAACCAUACUCAAAGAAGAAAUAAGUGUCCUAAAUGAAAAAUAUUCGAAGGAAAUAUCUGAUUCUAUUUUAAGGAACCAUAAAAGAGAAGCAUAGGGCCAAAGACACCGAAUAAAAAGUCACUCCUGGCAAUCAAACAAACAUGAUAAAUGAUAACCACGUUAGAGCUAAACGUCAAAAAGUAACACUGAGCUUCUCGAAAGGGUCUCCAAACAAACGAGUCUACCACAUUAGAAGCUCUUAGGAGUAUUAGCAGUGCACAACAUUUAUCCAUAAUUUCAGGUCCAUGACCUCCAUGUCACAAUGCAUAAUCUUAACACUGCAUCAAGGAUCAACCUAGGCCUGGCCACGGCCCAGUUUGGGCCAAGAACUGAACCCAACCAGCCAGAACUGGCCCCCUUUUCUGUCCUCUUGUACCGGACCUGAACUUGGCUGGUUCGGCCCGGUUUAGGGCCAAAACAGGAUUUUUUUUACCUUUAAAAAAAAAAGAAAAAAAAAAUCCCAACCAUUGGAUUAGAUCAAAACUUGGCAUAAUUGGGACCAAACCGGUACCAGAGGAUCCUGUGGUCCGGUCUCAGCCAGUUCAAGCCAGGGACAGAUGGCCAAAUCUAGCUCAACCUAUCUGGAGUUAAUGCUGAGUUGAUUAAAUUAAGAUUCAGAUGUGGGCAUAUUUCCCUGCACCACCUCCCACAGUUAACAAGCUGGCCAAAUCAGGCCUCAUCUUAAAAGCCACAACAGAGAGACCAUGACUGGAAACAAAAUAGAGAGGGAUUAUUACCGUUGCUUCCUCACAAAGGAGUUC
rnacentral:misc_RNA from 1 species